rnacentral:rRNA from 1 species
GACGAACGCUGGCGGCGUGCCUAAUACAUGCAAGUCGAACGCACUCUCGUUUAGAUUGAAGGAGCUUGCUCCUGAUUGAUAAACAUUUGAGUGAGUGGCGGACGGGUGAGUAACACGUGGGUAACCUGCCCUAAAGUGGGGGAUAACAUUUGGAAACAGAUGCUAAUACCGCAUAAAACCUAACACCGCAUGGUGUAGGGUUGAAAGAUGGUUUCGGCUAUCACUUUAGGAUGGACCCGCGGUGCAUUAGUUAGUUGGUGAGGUAAAGGCUCACCAAGACCGUGAUGCAUAGCCGACCUGAGAGGGUAAUCGGCCACACUGGGACUGAGACACGGCCCAGACUCCUACGGGAGGCAGCAGUAGGGAAUCUUCCACAAAGGACGAAAGUCUGAUGGAGCAACGCCGCGUGAGUGAAGAAGGUUUUCGGAUCGUAAAACUCUGUUGUUGGAGAAGAAUGUAUCUGAUAGUAACUGAUCAGGUAGUGACGGUAUCCAACCAGAAAGCCACGG